UCUUUCCCUCUUUUCAUUCUUGAUUCCAAUUUAUAUAUAUUUUUUACAAAAUAAAAAAAAUCAAUUUGAAAUGACUUUUUUAGCGCUGUUACAAUAUUACUCCUUGAAUUAUACAUAGAUUUUAAAUUUAGUCCUUUUAUUUUACUUCUCAACAAUCAAGUGUUUAUGUUUACUUAUUUUAUUUUAUUCCUAUUCUCUCCUCUCUCGUCUCUCCUCUCUCUCCAUUUGUUCAAUCUGAAUAUCUUGCAUAGAAAAGAAAUAGAAAAACAAUUUUGAGGCUGCUCUUAUCACAGAUUAUCGCGUGAGCUUUCAACGUUGGUUGUGGCCUUCAAUAUUGUGAGAUUGUAAGGUGAAUUUCUAUAGGUGAUAGUGUUGAUAAUGACAUGGGAGUGGUCAUUCCUUUAUUUUUUAUAGCUGCAACACUAAUGUUGGAUUCUAGUGGGUGUUGAGCAUUCCCUGAAGCUUUUGGAAUUGCGAAGGCAUGCUUCUCAUCAAACUUUGAAGCAAAAACUACUGGAGGACCAGACACACCAUUCAAGCCUUGAGGUUGCAAGUGUAACCAAAUAUUACAUAAUUAAUAGAAGAUAAACAUCAUACAACCCCUAGUGUUUAUGUAUUUUUUCUUGAAGAUACUGAAUGUACUCAAUAACCUGUAGAAUGAUUAAGAAAUGCUUCAUUAUUCCACAAAUAAGCAUAGGUUGAACAAAUAGCAAAUUAUAUUAGAAAUGUGAUGAUAUAGUGUUGAUAGUGUAGGAAGAAUCAUGAGCUUUUUUUAUUUCUUCCUCUAAUCAACAAUUAAUCUUUAUUCGCUAA